rnacentral:rRNA from 1 species
UGGGGAAUUUUGGACAAUGGGGGAAACCCUGAUCCAGCCAUCCCGCGUGUGCGAUGAAGGCCUUCGGGUUGUAAAGCACUUUUGGCAGGAAAGAAACGUCAUGGGUUAAUACCCCGUGAAACUGACGUUACCUGCAGAAUAAGCACCGGCUAACUACGUGCCAGCAGCCGCGGUAAUACGUAGGGUGCAAGCGUUAAUCGGAAUUACUGGGCGUAAAGCGUGCGCAGGCGGUUCGGAAAGAAAGAUGUGAAAUCCCAGAGCUCAACUUUGGAACUGCAUUUUUAACUACCGGGCUAGAGUGUGUCAGAGGGAGGUGGAAUUCCGCGUGUAGCAGUGAAAUGCGUAGAUAUGCGGAGGAACACCGAUGGCGAAGGCAGCCUCCUGGGAUAACACUGACGCUCAUGCACGAAAGCGUGGGGAGCAAACAGG